ensembl:lncRNA
GUAAAAGGAGGGGCUUCAUAUUUUAUCUUAGAUUUGGACAUCGACGCAUCUUUAAUAUGAGACUUUUCUAUGUACUUCUGCUUUUGAGCAUUGUUUGCUUUGAGAACAGUGACUCAGAGAAUGGGACAUGUCAGGAAGGUUAUGGAAACAUUUUCAUUCCUAUCAUCGCAAUUCUCUGUGAAGCAUUACUGCUUUCUUUUGCUGUAAAUGUCUACUUCAUUUGCAUGAGAAGAUAUAGAGACUCGUGCCAGAACUUUUACAAUGCAGUCUGGUGCAGUCGUGGAACAGCAAAUGAGCCUGAGCAAUCAGAUGACCAGCUUCCAGACGACACACAGUACUCUCUGAUUGUUUCCAAAGACAGAAGAGAGUGUGAGGAACAAACAGAAGUGAACCCCCCUGAGUGUGUAUACUCUGCUGUGAAACCCUAGAAAAGAUUCGACCUCAUCAAAAACAUAUACUUAAAUUGGUGAUAUAUUCUGCUUUUUUCCCCUCUCUCUCUGUUAUUGUUUUUGCAUUUUUGUUUUAAUUUUCAUUUAAUCUGUCUGUAAUUUAUAUUUAAGCAGAUGCUGUGGGAAAAAAAUAAAAUUAAGAUGCUUGUGGACUACUGUCCCAGCACAAGAGUAAAAGAGCUGAAGUCUAGUGGAUUGUUUAUUGUAUAACCACCGCACAGUUUACCAAUUUUGAAUGGACAAUGAUAGUAGUUUUUGGUUGUUAAUUAGUUGCAUUAGUAGUGCAGUAGUUUGCUCUUGGCAUCUGAGUUCACUGUUGCUUAUCGGUUGGUAUCUGUAUCUUCUGGCUAAAUGCAAAUGAGCAAUUAACACAUUUUUGUGCUAUAUGUGCGGUUACAUGAGAAGCAUGUGUUUCAAAGAAAUUGGUUGCUGUUAGCAGUUCAAAACAUAGCAGAUGCAUUUUACUAUUGAUUUAGCCUUUGUGUAAAGUAGGCUUUAAUGUGAUGUAGGUUUUUGUUUUUGUUCAGUUUUUUUGUUUGUUGCUUUUUUUUUAAUCAUACGUCUGAAAUUUUUAUUUCAUCCAGGCCAGCGCAGACUUUAAUGUACUGAUGUUGUAAAUUUACAAUUUAACAAGUCUAUUUAAAAUUAAAUGUUAUGUGUUGUGACUGAAAUGCUCAUGUUUUGGUGACAAUAAAUGGUUAACAGCACAAGGUUUGUCGUUGCCUGCAAUCUCAAAGCUCACCUUAUGAGGGCAG